rnacentral:rRNA from 1 species
UUGAACGUUCAUUCCGUGUUGAAUACACCGGUUCUCGUCCGAUCAGCGAAGUUAAGCAACGUCGGGCGCGGUCAGUACUUGGAUAGGUGACUGCCUGGGAACAACGCGGAUGUUGGCU